GGCGAACGCUGGCGGCGUGCUUAACACAUGCAAGUCGAACGGAAAGGCCCUGCUUGCAGGGUCCUCGAGUGGCGAACGGGUGAGUAACACGUGGGUGAUCUGCCCUGCACUUCGGGAUAAGCCUGGGAAACUGGGUCUAAUACCGGAUAGGAGCCAUUUUUAGUGUGAUGGUUGGAAAGUUUUUUCGGUGUAGGAUGAGCUCGCGGCCUAUCAGCUUGUUGGUGGGGUAAUGGCCUACCAAGGCGGCGACGGGUAGCCGGCCUGAGAGGGUGGACGGCCACAUUGGGACUGAGAUACGGCCCAGACUCCUACUGGAGGCAGCAGGGGGGAAUAUUGCACAAUGGGCGCAAGCCUGAUGCAGCGACGCCGCGUGGGGGAUGACGGCCUUCGGGUUGUAAACUCCUUUCGCUAGGGACGAAGCUUUUUGUGACGGUACCUAGAGAAGAAGCACCGGCUAACUACGUG
rnacentral:rRNA from 1 species